rnacentral:lncRNA from 1 species
AUGUCCGGACCCGGGAUCCGAACCGGCGAACCCUGGGCCGCCAAAGCGGACGUGCACGCUUAAUCGUCGCGCCAUCAGUGAGGAAGAUGGGCCCUGAGCUAACAUCUAUUGCCAAUCCUCCUCUUUUUGCUUGAGAAAGAUUGUCCCUGAGCUAACAUCCAUGCCAGUUUUCCUCUAUUUUGUUUCUGGGAUACUGCCACAGCAUGGCUUGAUGAAGAGAUGGACAGAGAGAUCCCAAUUCACACCUGGGAUCCAAAACUGCGGACCCUGGGCUGCUGAGCAGAGUGCACAAACUUAUCCUCUACGCUGCCAGGACAGCCACUAUUUAUGUUCUCCUUAAUUUCUUUCAGUAAUGUUUUGUAGUUUUCAUUGUGCAAGUCUUUCACAUUCUUGGUAGUUAAUUUCUAAGUAUUUUAUUCUUUUUUGAUGCUAUUGUAAAUGGAAUUGUUUUUGUCAUUUCCUCUUCAGAUAGUUCAUUGUUUGUGUGUAGAAAUGAAACAGAUUUUUGUAUGUUGACUUUGUAUCCUGCUACUUUGCUGAAUUCAUUUAUUAGUUGCAAUUUUUUUUUUUUUGGUGAGGUCUUUAGUGUUUUCUACAUAUAAGAUCAUAUCAUCUGCAAACAGAUAAUUCUACUUCUUCCUUUCCAAUUUGGAUUCCUUCUACUUUUUUCCUU